UUCUGUGGUGAUCAAAUCCAUGUUUUUGAGGUGUAUUGGAGCCAAGUCCCUGUUUUGCAGGGAGAACCUACUUGGUGAAGCUACAUUGCUUUUUCUUUUACUUAUUUGAU